rnacentral:lncRNA from 1 species
GUUUACUGAUGCAAAUCAAAAGUUCAAGUAUUUUUUUGAUGCCCUGCAGCACUUUUUGUCAGAAAAAUCUGUUAUGAACAGUUCUGAGCUCACCUUGUAUUCCAAGAUCGUACCUAUAUUGAUGAAAGAUAUGUCAGAUCAGAGCCUCAGAAUCCAAAGGAUGAGGAUCAAAUUUCUAGCAAGCUAUCCAUUUGUCCCGCCAAGCCACUAGGGUCAAAAACCCUGCCAUCAACUGAAACUUAAGUUACAGCAUUGGGUCUGUGCCAACCCUGCCUACUUUAACCAUGUUAGCCCCAUGCAGGCUAAUGAUGGAGGGGUUUGGUUGAUUCUACUUCCAUGUAUAAAAGCUGCAUCCUGCAGUCAUGUACAGUUUAGUUUACAACUGAAAGAUCAAAAAUGCAGGUAGCUGAAUUGACUAUAGCAAUACUAGCACUUGUUGUGGUAGUCACAAGUACUAUCAUAAUGAUCAUUUCGCUUAAGCUGCAAGUGCAAAGCAGCAGAGAGCAAAGUGCUCUUUUAAAGGGAAUAAUUGCCGUAAAUUACUGAGAUAUAGCAUUGCAUGAAUUAAGACUCAUGUUUGUGGUCAUACAGACAGUGGUAGGGGUCACACAGACCAUUCUGGUGACAAUUUCAAUAAAGUAUCAAAUUCAAAGCAAUAGGGAGACAAGCGCUCUUUUGAGGUGGAUAUGAUAUGUAGUUUAUAUGUUUCUUUUAUGUAGUUGUUGGAAUUUUAGCUGUAUUAGUGAUUGUCAUAAAGACAUCUUACUGGAUAUUUCAAUUACUAUCAAAUUCAAAGUAACAGAAAGACUAGCACUCUGUUUUAAAGAGGACAAUUACUCCUUAUAGAACCAGAAACGGGACAAUUACAAGUCACCAAUAACUGUAGUGAUACGUCUUCCAGUUAUUCCAACAACAGUACAGUUGAUGCCUGCUCACAUAAGUAAGACAAUAAUUUUUACUAAAUGACUGCCUCAAGUUGCCACUGUGGUAGCAACAGCAUUGCCUUACAAUCUAACGAUUGAUAAAUCACUAGUGCUGACUUUUGUGCUGUGCAGCUGUACAUGAAUACAACAAGGGGUAUCAAAAGGCCACCUCCCUUGCUCCACCUUUAGCAUCACAUUUGCAGGCUUGCAGUGGCCAUUGGAAGAGUAAAUCUUACUUAUCAAAAUAUUGAGCUAUUGGCCUUAGUCUCAUGAUGGGAGUGUCUGUGGACUUUGUUAGUGAAAUACAUCAGUUGGGAAUUAGAAUAUUUACUGGUUAUGACUUUAGAGGAAAGAAGAAUAUGUAGAACUGUUCCCAGGAAGCUUCUAAGGAUGCAUAAAACAAAAAUGGAGGUCACAGAAGACUUUUGUUGUCUCCACCAAAAAGAUAAGAAAAAAAAAGUUAAAUCCUCCAAAAGGGGCCAUAGAUUUAGUUUGAAAAAAAUGAAAAUUGCUUGUGCCAAUAACCAAAAGUCAAAUAAUGGUAUAUCAAGAUGGAUAAUUUCUGCUAUUAAAUUAGGUACUGUUAACAGCAGUCCCACCAUCAUUUGCUUCAAAUCUAGCCUCAGAAAUAGAUGCCCAGUUGAUAAAUGGUCCCAUGAUGGAAAACAUGCUCGUCUCAUAAAAGUUGAAAGCAAUGGAAUAUACUCAAGACUUAACUUUGCACUUUAACUUAAUACUCUUCUCUUAACACACGGAGAUGUUGUGAGCAAUGGAGGCCCCAUUGCACCAGUUUGUCACAGUUGUCUCAACUUUUGAAAGCAUAAUAAUCAGUAUGACUGAAAAGGUACGAAAUUAUAGAACGUUUAAUCACAUAUGAAAAAGGCAUGGUCAAUCUCUAUGAGUUCAUUGUACUCUUGUGUACUGUUAGUAAUGAAGACUGCUGCCACUGCCACUUUUUCUUCUUUAAGUACUACUGCUGCUCUAAAGAUGCUCUUAAAGGACGUUUAUAGUAUCACACCUAAUGAUACUACUUUAUAGAAUUGGUUGAGAAGAAAAGGCUUAAUUAGUGAUGUCACUGAUCAGUAAUGUAGGAAGUGUCAUCAAGAGGGGAUGAAAGAAACCCUCUUAUAAGACAGUUGGUCACUGUAGGAGGGAUAUCAACAGGAGUUGUAAACAAAAAUACAGGCACAGCUCAGGAAAUUUCAUAAGUGUGGAUGAUUCAGUAAUAGCAAAUAUAAACAAGUAAAUAAACUUUUCAUUUUUAAUAGACUGGUAGAGCUUAGGUAUUUUCUAUCACACUUGAGGAUUCAACCCAAAUUGGAGGACUGGGGGAAGUUGCUGAGAUUGACGAAUCCAAAUUUGUAAGCAAAAGUACUACAAGGGGAGGAGGUUUUUGGGUCCUAGGCAGGAAUAAUAGAUGGACAAGACAGACUUUCUUAGUAACUAUUGAGGACUGUUCUAAAGUUAAAUUGAUCUAAUUGCAUUGACUAUAUUGUUCCGUCCUAAGUUUGGGAAAUUAAAGGAUAUUGGGGGCAAAGCUCCAUGUCUAUCCACUCGCUUCUAUUGUUCCUGAACAGUACCUCAUUCUCUCAGGAACAAAGUAGCUCAGGAGUUUUGACGUCUGGAAAAGCUGGAGGUCAUCACCCCAAUGAAGCAUUCAGAGUGGGCAGCACCUGUUGUGCCAAUAGUAAAAGCAUUUGUCUUUGCGGAGAUUACGAAGUAAUGAUUAAUCCAGUCCUGCUUCCAGACAUUUAUCCUCUUCCAAGAGUCGACAAUCUAUUAGCUGCAUGCAAGUCCUUUUCAAAGUUGGACUUAAAACACGCACACCUACAAGUUCCUAAGAGUCUAAAAAGUACACAACCACUAACGUCCAGCAAGGGCUUUUUCAGUAUGAACGCCUACUUUUUGGCAUGUCCUCAGCUCCAUCUAUGUUUCAGAGGAUAAUGGAUAACAUCCUCAAAGAUGCAUAGAUAUAAGUAUGGCACUGUUAAUUAUUCAUGGAAAUUUGUCAAUUUUGAAACAGGUAAGGACAUAGUGUUCAGUUAUGGGAUCUCCCCCAUAAUUCACAACACAAAAGCACAUGUACAGCACAAUCGAUAUUUUUACAACCAUACUUGAAGCAUUCUUCAGUCAUUCCACAAUUGGUAUUUGAAUCAGUAGAAGUUGUGUCACUUUUUGGCUAGCACGCCUUAAACAACGAAAGGAGUGCCGAGUGCUAUGAAAAUAAUCGGAAUAACAAACAGCCUCCAAUCAAUUCUAAAUGAAAACGUAAGACUAAUUUGUAAUAAGUGCCUACACAGUGAGUCGGUACAUCUCCACCGCUUGAAAAAGCUCGCUCAAAUUCAUCAACAACAACAACAUUGCAACAACACUGCUUUUGAUAUACAUGUACUUGGCCAAAAGCAACUAAUUUUGCUACAUUUGAACCCUUAUUACAAAUAAUUUUUAACUUCCACUAAACCAAUAUAGUGACCAAAUGCCAAUUAUCAAAAAACGAAACCAUUGAAAUUAAACUGAACAAAAGAAAAAAUUUCGAUUGCCUGGAAAGCAUCAUUCAGGACACAACUCAUGACAGCCAUUGUUUGAACAAAUUUACUUCAUACCUCAAGAGGAAACUGAUAAAUUUGUAUCUGACUACAGCACUCCUCAGUCUGUAGUAGCACCCAAAGUAAGGUAGAGCAAGUAGAUUAAAGUACAAGAGUAAAGACUUUGGCAGUGACAAAAAAGAUGAAAGUAUUGGAGCUCUCAUGUACCAACAUAGUUUCACUGCAGCAAAGUGAAGUGUAUUUUUAUGACUAUUGGAAUUAAAACAGGAAAAGGCUAAGCAAGAGAAUGUACCAUUAUCAUCAGGAAAAAUAGCUCAGGAUAUUAAUCUAAGUUUUAAUAAAAUUUGAAUGGAUUCCGUACAGGAGGAAAGACAGAGCUUGUGAAAGCAAAGCUGAGCUAAUAUAGGAUUUGUAAUUUUAAGGAAGUUAAUUACAUUGAUUAUAUUUUUUAGUUAUAAAAUAAUUUGUAGGAGACUCAGUCAAAGGAAAUAUUUGGCAUGAUUUGCUAACAUAUUCAGGGAUAAUGAUACCUUCUUUAUUUGGUAAACUGCAUUUUAAGAAACUGUUGUUGUACCUUCCACUUACCACUACUAGUAUCUUUCAAAACAAUUAGUCUGAUGAAGCAGGUUUUAAACCACCAAUGGUGCUUGAAAUUAUCUUACUUUGAUUUUUGUCUAUGCAUCAUAACAAGAUAGUGCACACAACACUGACUGGUGGUAAUGGGCAGUCCUGGGGUGGGGCAUAUUCUGGGUUCAAGUUAGAAACAGCAGUGGCUGUUGACAUUGCAGUGAAAAAGCAAAUUCCAAUUUUGCUGGUUGUUGUCACAUGCAGAGAGGACCUCGCAUAGUCUGCUCAAAUAACCAGGCACAAGGAAGGAAUGUUGGUCUUCUUUGAGACUCACCUCUAGCUGGAGGUGUCAGCACAGCACAUUUCUGGCUCCUUGUCACAUUGAUCAAUAUUAUUAAUUUUUUUAUAAUGUGCAUGUGAGAGAGGUUGAGCUUAUUAUUUUAUUGAAGAUGGAAUGACAGUUGUACUCAUAGUGUGCUUUGGCACAUGAAGAAACACUAGUGAUACUAAUGUAUGCAGCUUACUUGUAGAAUGAAGCUGGCAAUGGACGUAAUUGGAGGGUGCUUUUGCUUUUGAAUGAGCAAACCAUACAAGAGCUAAGAAGAUGAAUAGGCAGCUUGAGGAGCUCAACAUACACACAAGGAGGAGGAGGUGCAGCACAAACCAAAGGCACUACUGAGUGGAACAAAAAUUUGAUUGUAU